rnacentral:rRNA from 1 species
UACAGAGGGUGCAAGCGUUGCUCGGAAUUAUUGGGCGUAAAGGGUAGGUAGGUGGUCUCAUUUGUCUGGGGUGAAAGCCUUGAGCUUAACUCAAGAAGUGCCCCGGAAACGGUGAGACUGGAGUCUUGGAGAGGGUCGUGGAAUUCCCGGUGUAGCGGUGAAAUGCGUAGAGAUCGGGAGGAACACCAGAGGCGAAAGCGGCGACCUGGACAAGUACUGACACUCAACUACGAAAGCGUGGGGAGCAAACAGG